rnacentral:rRNA from 1 species
UACGAAGGGGGCUAGCGUUGCUCGGAAUUACUGGGCGUAAAGGGAGCGUAGGCGGAUAUUUAAGUCGGGGGGUGAAAGCCCAGGGCUCAACCCUGGAACUGCCUUCGAUACUGGAUAUCUAGAGUAUGGGAGAGGUGUGUGGAACUCCGAGUGUAGAGGUGAAAUUCGUAGAUAUUCGGAAGAACACCAGUGGCGAAGGCGACACAACUGGCCC